CCAUGCUGCCGCUUGCCGCCUCCCUCCCCAACAACGCCGGCGGCUACCCCGUGCUUCCACCCUGCUUCCACCCCCCCAGCUCUUGGCGCCGGGAUGGCCGCCCGCACUGUAUCGAUGCGCCGCUGCCGCGUGCAGGAAGUUCAACGCCACAAUCCCCUACCGUUCUAUCUCGCUGUUGUUGGCGUGCCCCGCUCCAACUCCAUCGCCUCUGCUUCACUGGUGAAAUAGUGCAACCUGAGGAACCACGGGGGGUCAUCAUCAGUUCGUAAAGGAAAGUUGAAUCAGUGCAGUGUGCGUGUUCAAAAAAUAAUUUCAGUUUUAUAUUGUAUAGAAAAUUUAUAAUAGUUCCCACUUUUCAGUCCAUCUACUUCCCUAUCACAAGUCCAAUUAGUAGAAAUUCAAAUAUGAAAAUAGCAUCCAUUUUGUUCUGGUAAUCAUCUUGAACCAAUUUGGUAUGUAUCAGACUUUCAUAUGUUGAUUAGUAGGGUAGAUCUCUGUUGUAUAAGAAGUUAGAUGUUGAUUUGCAAUUAUGCUGUGACAAAAUUUUCAGUCAUCUUUUUCUUGUUGGUCCAGUGCAUGUCCCGCAAUGAGCCAGCUAGGACAGGGAAGUUGUUGGACACUGCCGUCUUCGUUGGCCGUCACGCUAUGAGUGGCUAUGGCCAUUGGUCACCAUUGGUCGUCGGCCGUUCUUCUUCGCCACCUCCUGAAGGUCUUCCACUGGCUCCCGCCCUUCCUCCGAUGUCAUCCACUUUGAAGACACUGACGCGCCCCAUCAGGUCGUGGAGCAAGCAUGGGAAAAAAGGGACUCGCAUCCCGUUGUUGCGCAAGCCCUGCUUCCCGCUGGCGGCCAUCUCCACGUAAGUUUGAUAUUUGCACUGCCCUGCUCGUGCAACGCAUUGUCGCCGGCAGCCAUUGUGGGCCCGUGCCUGGUGCUCUCUGUGUGUAGUGCCCAGGCCAUUCACUGCCUCCACACAAGGCUGUUUGACGACGCAACCCUCAAGCAGUUCACCCUUACCAGCACAAGCCGUUCACCUCCGCCACACGAGGCCGUGCGACGACGCAACUAUCAGAACGUUCAGCUCUGCCACAGGAGGCCGAUGCAAUGCUAAGAAUGUUUUGUUCUUUUUCAGUACAUGUUUUGUGUGCUUUUUAGUACACCUACUUAACGAUUCUAUGUCCAAUUUCCCCUGUUUAAGUGUUCUUCCUAUAGCACAACAAGAGUUGUGCGUUAUUCCUUAAUAAGAAUUUGAGAAAACCUUAUAUAUGGAUCGAAACUAGCAUAUGUUCUGUUCUAUUCUUGUAAAUGAAGCUCCACUUUUGUUUUGUUUGAGGUUA